UGCCUCAAGACCCCUAUCCCUAUCUCCUCGCUAUACUGGCCGGGGUACGAGCAACCUUAAGGAAGAUCGGGUAACUAACUCCGGUGGGAAGUUUGGGCGUAUGCUGACAGAGAAGG
rnacentral:ribozyme from 1 species